GUUGGAGUCCAAAGCCGCAUUGGAUGCCCCUGCUCUGGCACAACAAAUCCACUUUAAAAAGAAACAGACUCUUCGCUGUUUGGAAAGUGUGGGAACAAUUGACCAUCCAGAGGCUGUAUAAACACCAUGCAAGCAAUUCAAGAUGAAUGCAGGACGAAUGCCUGUUUUAUAACAACCUCACAAGCAAAUCAGAAUGAAAAGUCAAUAAAGAACGGAUAUAGCCUAACCUCUGCAGAAGCUGUAUGCAGGUAAAUCAGGGUAAUUGCUCUAUAAGGAGGAUGUCUGGAGAGGCCCUGCUUGUGGUGCCACUGCUGAGGGCUGUCUGGUUUCUGUUGACCCGCGAUGGGACCUUCCUUGCUUGUGCAACGGCCUCUUUGGUGAGAUAUGUCUGUCUCCCUUAUUGGAGACUUUGAAGGGAAUUUUUUUAAAAAAAUAUAUCCUGAUUUACAAAGGUAUUUGAUGGCUGAGAGAUACUGUUCUUGGCAACCCUGAAAUCCUUGGCUGAGAGAAUUUUUAAAACUGCUUUUAGAAUGCUAUAGAAACUAUUUUUAGAAGGUUUUUAAUGAUACUGCUUUUAACAAUGUGCUUGCCACUCAGCCCUGCGCUCCUUUGGGAGGGAAAGGUGGGACAGAAAUUGAAUAAAUAAAUAAUUUUUACACAUGUAUUUAAAUAUAGAGUUCCAGCUUCAGUAGGCCUCCAGAAAAGUAGGCGAAAAUUUGUCUUAUUUUGGUGUUGAUGACAAGGCAGUCCUAGUUCCUCAACAGCCCUGCAUCCUGUUAGGCUGGGAAGGCACAGAGCGUGGGGGAUGUAGGUGGUUAAUUUAUAGCUCUUUGUUCGCACUUGCGUCAAAGCUUGUUUAAAAAUACAGCCCUUUGAUUCUUAGUCACUUUUCAUGUGAGGCUCCUUGCGGUUAUAAAUACCUCAGCCAGAUGCCUUUCCAGCCAGAGCCUGUGGCCCUGCGAGGCACCUGCUUCCUCCUCUCAGUUGCUGCUCCGUACAAAGAGAAAAAAGGCCUCGUUUGCUGCUCCUCGCGCAGGUUUCAGCAUUUCCUUAACGAAGACGAAAAUAACUGACAUUUUAUUUUGCAAAGUGAAAUCUGAUGCAAAAUUGAAGUUUCCCCCCCUGGCAAAACUCCCAAAGGAUUUGGAGGAAAGCCGAAAGAAAAACCUGGGAGGGUUUUUGAGGAGGGUUCAGGUGGAGCAAGAUGUUAAUGAGAGACGCUGAGCUGCCAUCACUCCCUGUCUCUUUCUCGCCUCAUCCUGGCAACAUGCAGUAGAAGAGGGCACAUUAUGGGACGCCAGGGUUCGGUGCUCUCUAGGUUACCCCUCCCCACACUGGCCAUUAGGUGAGGUGGGGAUGGAAGAACGAGCAAUGGCAGCCAUGGGUGUCCAAAGGGGUGGGGGAGUAGUGUCACAUCUAGUUCUGCUCCCAGGUUGCAGAAUUUAAAGGGUGGAAUUCAAAGUAGCACUAAGGAGAUGGCUCUGUCAAUGCCAGCAUUUUUGCUUGUCUGAUGGAAUGAUCCUCCCCCAGUGCAGUGCUCUGGCGGGUUGUCUCCUGAUUCCCCCACCACUUGAGUUUUUUUUUUGGGGGGGGGAUGCUUGCAUGCUGGGAGAAGAGGAGGGGGAAAGCCCCAUUGUGCUAUCGGGACUCAUUGCGCUGGCUCCCAGUAGUGCAUCUCUUUAGUUGAAUCUAACCCAAAGUGAAUCCAGGGAUACCUUCUCAGAUGAAAUAGCAGUUUACCUCUGGUUUUCAACAGCAUCAUAGAAGAAAAGGAUUGAACCCCCCUCCACCCACAAUUUAGGAUCACGGCCUGCACGCCUGCAAUUUCUAGGAACACACAAAAACAGACUCAAAUGCAAGGUCACAUUUAGGGUGCAAUUCUAUUUUUUUUAAAAUGAUAUUUAUUAAGAUUUCCAAUAAAAAGAACACAUCAAUAAGAAAUUAAAAAUAAAAAAAGAAAAACACACAGUUCAAAAAUACACAAUACAUAAUCCAAAAAAAAAACAAAAAAACAAAAGACAAAAGACAAAAAAGAAAACCAUUAAAAACAAUACCACCUUUUCCUCGCCAUUUUUUAAAUUUACUUAUUUUCUGGACCUCCUCGUACCUCCCUCUUUUGUAUUCCAGUUCAAUUUGUUUGUCCAGCAGUUUCUUUCCCUCUUUUUUAAUCCCAAUCCUUAAUCCUAAUAUAAUAUAACAUUAAAUUUUUACCUCUUAAAAACCAAAUUUCCAUUUCUUUUAACUUUUUUAAUCCUAAUCCUUAAUCUUGAUCUAUAUAUAACUUUAAAGCCUGUAUAGCUAGAAGCCACUUAUUUUCAGUCCAACAUCACUCUAACAUUCUUUAAUUUUGCAAUGUUUCUGCAGAUAGUCUUUGAAUUUCUUCCAAUCUUCCUCCACCGACUCUUCUCCCUGGUCACGGAUUCUACCAGUCAUUUCCGCCAAUUCCAUAUAGUCCAUCAUUUUCAUCUGCCAUUCCUCCAGUGUGGGUAGCUCUUGUGUCUUCCAAUACUUUGCGAUAAGUAUUCUUGCUGCUGUUGUAGCAUACAUAAAGAAAGUUCUGUCCUUUUUUAACACCAUUUGGCCGACUAUGCCCAGAAGAAAGGCCUCUGGUUUCUUCAGGAAGGUAUAUUUAAAUACCUUUUUUAAUUCAUUAUAUAUCAUUUCCCAGAAAGCCUUAAUCUUUGGGCAUGUCCACCAAAGGUGAAAAAAUGUACCUUCAGUUUCUUUACAUUUCCAACAUUUAUUAUCGGGCAAAUGAUAGAUUUUUGCAAGCUUGACUGGGGUUAUGUACCACCUGUAUAUCAUUUUCAUAAUAUUCUCUCUCAGGGCAUUACAUGCCGUAAAUUUCAUACCUGUGGUCCAUAACUGUUCCCAGUCAGCAAACAUAAUGUUAUGUCCAACGUCUUGUGCCCAUUUAAUCAUAGCAGAUUUUACCGUUUCAUCCUGAGUGUUCCAUUUCAGCAGCAAGUUAUACAUUCCUGACAAAUUCUUAGUUUUGGGUUCUAACAGUUCAGUUUCUAAUUUUGAUUUUUCCACCUGGAAGCCAAUUUUCUUGUCCAAUUUAAAUGCCUCCAUUAUCUGAAAAUAAUGAAGCCAGUCUCGCACUUUGUUUUUUAGUUUUUCAAAGCUCUGCAAUUUCAGUCUAUCUCCAUCUUGUUCCAAAAUUUCCCAAUAUUUCGGCCAUUUGACCUCCAUAUUGAGCUUUUUCAAGGCUUUCGCUUCCAUUGGUGACAGCCACCUUGGAGUUUUGUUUUCUAAUAAAUCCUUAUAUCUUAUCCAAACAUUAAACAGCGCUUUCCUGACAAUGUGGUUUUUAAAUGCUUUAUGUGCUUUGACCUUAUCGUACCACAGAUAUGCAUGCCAUCCAAAUACAUUGUUAAAACCUUCUAGGUCCAAAAUGUCAGUGUUUUCAAGAAGCAGCCAUUCUUUCAACCAGCAAAAAGCUGCUGAUUCAUAAUAAAGUUUGAGGUCUGGCAGGGCAAAUCCACCUCUUUCCUUUGCAUCCGUUAGUAUUUUAAAUUUUAUUCUAGGCUUCUUGCCCUGCCAGACAAAUCUAGAAAUAUCUUUCUGCCACCUCUUGAAACAAUCCAUUUUGUCCACAAUUUGCAAUGUUUGAAAUAAAAACAACAUUCUAGGCAAUACAUUCAUUUUUAUCGCAGCAAUACGGCCCAGCAGUGAAAGCUUCAAAUUUGACCAAAUUUCUAGAUCUUUUUUCACUUCAGCCCAACAUUUUUCAUAAUUAUCUUUAAAUAAAUUCCCAUUUUUUGCUGUCAUGUUAAUCCCCAGGUAUUUCACUUUCUUAACCACUGUUAAACCUGUCGUAUUCUGAAACCUCUCUCACAUUUAGGGUGCAAUUCUAAACCAAUAUACAGUCAUACCUUGGGAUAAAUACGCUUCAGGAUAAGUAUUUUCGGGUUGCACUCUGCAACGGAGUAACGGAGCUCGUAACUUCGGGGUUUUUCCGCUCACGCAUGCGCAGACGGUCAAAAUGAUUCACGCGCAUGCAUGGAAGCGGCGAAAUGCGACCCGCGCAUGCGCAGACACGCAGUCACGUCUUACUUCUGUUCAGGAUGCGAACGGGGCUCCGGAACGGAUCCCAUUCGCACCCCAAGUUACCACUGUACCUGAGAGUUGUUGUUGUUUAGUCGUUUCCAAGGUGACCUGAAAACUACUACUAAUCCAGAAUGUGGCAGCUAAACUGGUGAUUUGAAGCAGCCACCGACACCAUAUAACAUCAGACCUGUAAGAACUGCAUUGGCUCCCAGUACGUUUCUGAGCACAAUUCAAAGUGUUGGUUGUUGUUUAGUCGUUUAGGUGCGUCCGACUCUUCGUGACCCCCAUGGACUAGAGCAUGCCAGGCACUCCUGUCUUCCACUGCCUCCCGCAGUUUGGUCAAACUCAUGUUGGUAGCUUCGAGAAUGCUGUCCAGCCAUCUCAUCCUCUGUCUUCCCCUUCUCCUUGUGCCCUCAAUCUUUCCCAACAUCAGGGUCUUUUCCAGGGAGUCUUCUCUCAUGAGGUGGCCAAAGUAUUGGAGCCUCUGCUUCAGGAUCUGUCCUUCCAGUGAGCACUCAGGGCUGAUUUCCUGAAGAAUGGAUAGGUUUGAUCUUCUUGCUGUCCAUGGAACUCUCAAGAGUCUCCUCCAGCACCAUAAUUCAAAAGCAUCAAUUCUUCGGCAAUCAGCCUACUUUAUGGUCCAGCUCUCACUUCCAUACAUCACUACUGGGAAAACCAUAGCUUUUACUAUACGGACCUUUGUUGGCAAGGUGAUGUCUCUGCUUUUUAAGAUGCUGUCUAGGUUUGUCAUCGCUUUUCCUCCCAAGAAGCAGGUGUCUUUUAAUUUUGUGACUGCUGUCACCAACUGCAGUGAUCAUGGAGCCCAAGAAGUAAAAUCUCUCACUGCCUCCAUUUCUUCCCCUUCUAUUUGCCAGGAGGUGAUGGGACCAGUGGCCAUGAUCUUCGUUUUUUUGAUGUUGAGCUUCAGACCAUAUUUUGCGCUCUUCUCUUUCAUCCUCAUUAAGAGGUUCUUUAAUUCCUCCUCACUUUCUGCCAUCAAAGUUGUGUCAUCUGCAUACCUGAGGUUGUUGAUAUUUCUUCCGGCAAUCUUAAUUCUGGCUUGGGAUUCAUCUAGUCCAGCCUUUCGCAUGAUUAAUUCUGCAUAUAAGUUUAAUAAGCAGGGAGACAAUUACAACAGCCUUGUUUUACUCCUUUCCCAAUUUUGAACCAAUCAGUUGUUCCAUAUCCAGUUCUAAGUGUAGCUUCUUGUCCCACAUAGAGAUUUCUCAAGAGACAGAUCAGGCACUCCCAUUUCUUUAAGAACUUGCCAUAGUUUGCUGUGGUCGACACAGUCAAAGGCUUUUGCGUAGUAAAUACAGUGGAACUCAAGUCUGAGUAGACCUUUAUAAGGUUCAGUGCUAUUUUUCUAGAAAAAGAGGUGCCAGAACUCACCAUGAACACCUCCCUUAUUCUCUUAUAAAGGCAAUGGCGCCGACCUGAGAGGUGCCAGAACUCAGUUCCAGUAGGUUAUGACUGAAAAAAAAGCCCUGAUAAGGUUGAUCUUCAGUUGUAAUGUGGUCCUAAGUCAGGGGUCAGCUGUGCAGUAUAUGAAGUGCUCACAAAACUUUCUGAGACACUACAAUACUUUUUGCACUCUUUAUUAACUGUCACACACAUGUGUACGUUUAUGCACGUCUCUUGGCCUUGGAGUGGUCCUCCUCUUUGGGCUGCUGUGUUGAAUAUUAAUCUUGUGCAUAUUCCUGAAAAUCUCAUUGGCAUCACCUAUGUGCAUAAAGGACCCUUAGGGAUUCAACUAAUGAGUUCUGCUAGUGGAAGCCCAUGCAAGACCUUCUGGUAGCGCAGUGGGGCUUUCACUCCUAUCCUCCCCCCAUGCCUUCCCAUGUGUGUAUCAAGAGAACCCUCAGAAUAGCGCAUAGGGUGAGGAGAGCGGUGAUCAGUCUGAAAAGCUGAAAUGCUUGCGCUGACAGAACCAUUAGAAGAGCAUGAUUUUGAGUUCCUUCCAAUGAGAGGAAAAAAUGGGGUGUGUGUGUGUGUGGAAGAAUCCUGGGGACUUACAGCACCUGCUCCCCCAUCCCCUGUUCUUGCUUUAGCACCAGAUGGAACAGAGACCUGCCCUCUGACCAACAUUCUUAUAAAUCCUACCACAAUAAUGGUAACAAAUUAUCUUGGGUUUUUUUAACUAAGUGGAUAAUUAUUUGGGAGCUCAUUGAAGGGUUCUCCAAAUGUUUGCUGAGCAAAUAAGUUUGUGAAAUCUGGCAAGGAAGAGGCAACAGGGAGCCAGGUGGGGAAACCAACACACUUUCUCUAUCUUUGCGCAAGCAUAGCCUGGUUGGUUUCCCAGACAGCAUUGAUCUUCAUGUGUUGGAUGGUAUUGAUUCCAUUCUUGUUCCAGGUGGCCCAAGGGUGCCAGUGCUUGCUUCCAGGCAGACGCUGGAGAGCUUGUCCAUACAUUAGCUUCCCACAUCACACACACACCCUCUAGUGCUCAACCGGGUGCGUUGAGAACUGUCCUUGCAAAAAGCAGGUACCCUUCCCCUUAGCACAGAAAGCAUCAGUGGGGGCACUAUUUGGGGGGCAGUUCUCCUUCUCCAUUGCACCUCUCCAAGUCCACUGUUCCAUUUUUUACCUGUUAGCAAAACAAUUCAGUUUGUAGAACCAGCAAUCUGGGUUGGCUCCAGGUUUGAAGGGGCUCUCAAAGUGCCAUCUGGUGGAACUCUUUUUACAUCCAGUCCUUAGCUUAUUUGAAGGCAGCAGCAGAAAGCAGCUACAAGCUGCUGUUUUUUGAGGUUCCCACAAUGCCCCUUGCAUAACACAGUCAGCAGACCCUCCAGGGAGCAAGACCAGGCUUCAGUGCCAGUGGGCAAUGGUGUGGCACUGAAACCAUAGCAGCUUCCUCUGGGUGCCAGAUACUGACACUGGACCGGAUGGUUGCUGUGGGUCUAGCCCUCUCCAUGAAAUCUCUCCCCUCCUCGGAAAUUUGGAAUGGUAUCCCUGAGGUCAGUAGGAUGGCCAGAUGCAAAAAAGAGGGCAGGGUUCCUGAACCUUUAAAUUGUUGCGCUGAAGAGGGAGGUUUGCCAGGUGUAUCUUGCAUGACAAGCUUCCUCUGGUGAAUUCUCCUCUUUUACACAACUCCUAAACAUUCAAAAGCCCUGUCCUCCCUAGUUAAGAACCAAAAGCACAGCUUGAUCAAUAAGUGUUUGUGAGGUUCUCCUAGGGUCAGUAGGAAAAUAAUAAUUGGGUGGUGAUGGUUACCAGAGAAUGGCUCUUUCCAGAAAGUAGCUACUUUCUGUGUGUCUGCAUAUACACUAUAAACCUUUAAAGCAAAUUCAAAGCACAUUCCCCCACUCGAAGAAUUCUGGGCAUAGGUUAAAUGUUGCUGGGAAUUGUGAGGGGUAAACUACAGUGCCCAGAAUUCUUUGAGAGAAAGAAUGUUCUUCAGAUACAUUUUAAACGUAUAGUGUGUACACAGCCUGUGUUUGCAGCAGUGACUGCUCAAUUUCCCAAGGAACAGUGCCAUUUGCUCAAAUUCAAGUUGGAGUCAAGUAUGUUUAAAGCACAUCCCACCUGACAAAAAAAUAAUGAAAGCUGUAGUUUAUUAAGGGCUCUGCGAGAGGCAAGCUACAGUCCCUGGGUUUUUUGAGGGGAAGCCAUGUGCAUUAGAACUUCUUCAAAGGUUUGGUGCGCACACAGCCUCCUCCUGCCACUUCCUCAUUGGUGGAUCUUUCGAGGAGGAAAAUCAAAUCAAAGGCAACCUGGCCUUCUUUUGCCAUAGUGUCAAGGAUUGGGCAUCUGCUGAGGAAUGACACCUCUGCACAGGUGCCUACAACAAGGGUCCCCUGCAAUGAGGAGAUAGACUAAGGGCUCAGCCACCACUUCCUUUUGUCUCAAAUUUUGUUCCUUUUAGUCCGUGACUUCUAGGCAUGGGCCUGAUAGGUUUUCCUUUGCCCGGAAAAACCUGCUGUUUAUUGCUGAAUCAGAACAAGUGUCAAUCCACAGAAAACCUGAUUGACGUUUGGUCUGAUUCAGCAGUAAACCACGGGUUAUCCUGGGGGAAAUGGCAUGACAAAAGAAAAACCUAUUGGAUCCAUGCCUAGAAGUCACGGACCACGUGGAAGUGUGGAUGAGCCCUGAGGGAGGGUCCAUGGAGGGUGUCUUGCCCAAAGGCUCUCCAGAACCUGGAGCUGAGAGGCACAAAAGUCUUUCCUCCCCAGCUCCUGUCCACUUCUGAGGAAGGAGAACAGGUUGCCUUGGAUGCAGCCAUAAGCCAUCCUCCUGUGCUUCUCUUUGUGUGUGAACAGGAAAUGUGCUACAGCAAAACAGGCGCUUAGGUGAGAAGGGGAAGAAGGAACAGCCAUUUCAAAAGAGUUCACCCUCUUUCUCCUGGUAUGAACCAUAAAAGUGCAUGAGCAGGUCAACCUCUCAGAUUCCCUCCAACCUCAUUUGCCUUGACUUUAGUGUACCUUUACAGGUCUUUGGGUAAGGAGUGCAUAAUUUCAGUGAUCUGCAGGGCUCUUGAGCAGAUGGCUGGCACAUUUAACUAGCAGUGGCACUGAAACUCAGAAGGCUCAUGAUGAGACGGAACUGGUCCCACAGCAUUACGUGACAGGUGAAGUGCACCAGCGUCACUGGCAAGACUGAAGCUGGAACUUGACCCUGGAGAGUUGCACUGUACACAAACAUGGAUCUUGUCCCAUAGCAACACCCAGCGCAACUAGUCCAAUAAGAUAAGGAAUGAAAUCUGUGUCCUGAACCUUGAUGUGUUGCCAUCUACCUUGCUGCACAGCUGAUCACCUUGGGCCCCUUGCUGACGAGAGCUUGGAGUCUCUUCCUGUUUGAUGCAGGAAUUGCCUAAUCAGUCAUGCUGGAUAUGUACUUUCGCCAGCAACACAAGGCAUGGGGACU
rnacentral:lncRNA from 1 species